UACCAGCACCCCGAGUGGUCGGGACGAUUAUUGGGCCUAAAGCAUCCGUAGCCGGUUUUACAAGUCCUCCGUUAAAUCCAACUGCUUAACAGAUGGGCCGCGGAGGAUACUGUAAGACUAGGAGGCAGGAGAGGCAAGCGGUACUCAGUGGGUAGGGGUAAAAUCCGUUGAUCCAUUGAAGACCACCAGUGGCGAAGGCGGCUUGCCAGAAUGCGCUCGACGGUGAGGGAUGAAAGCUGGGGGAGCAAACCGG
rnacentral:rRNA from 1 species